GGGGCUGAUGCCCUAAUAGAUUAAACUAACACUUAACAGGUAUUUGAGUUCACCUGUGGCAUGCUGUCUAAAGGGUUCAGAGAAGGGAGGGGUCUCUUGGGGGCGAGGAAGGAGGUGAACAAGUCUGUUUCUGCGAAGCUCGCAGUCUUGUCCCCUUCUGGGAUCCCGCAGAGAGAGAGGCGAGGAAGCGUCGGGAUUUCUCGAGCUGCUAAGAGGUCUUCCUGUGGGAUCCUCAGACUGCCCCGCGGAAGCGCGCCUUUCCCGGGGGUGACAUUUGGAGCUACUUAAUGGCGAGGGGGCGCUUCCGAGAGGAUAAUCACCGUCUAAUGACUUCUGAACAACUCCCUCCAGGCUGUCUCGAUCUCCUCCGGCUCGGCUCUCCGGCUCCCCAAGGUAGAGGGAACUCUGGGCUCUCGUGUCGGCUCCAGCACUAACGCCCAGGACCCUGGCCUUGAAGCAGGGGCGUCUGAGAGGUCGUGGGUUGCAGGGGGCUGGUCCCCAGUUUCGCAUCAAUUAAUCUGGAGGUGUGAGCGGCUGCUGAGUGUAGGCCAGCUGUGCCACUGGCCCGGUGCACACGGUUUUGUCCUGGAGCUCCUUAGUGACGCCUGCAGGCUGUACUGCAUCAAGUGUUACAGAGAUUUCUUUUACUACUUUCUUUUGUUAUAUGUGGUGGGUACCCACGCUCCUCCUGGAAGCCUCAAUGCAGUCGUGGGGUCAAGGUGUGUUGUGCAGAUUCUCCCAUGUGCAACAUCACAUCAGAACCCAAACUAAAUGGCUGCCAAGAAUGAUAUACCAUUAGGCCGGCGCCGCAGCUCACUAGGCUAAUCCUCCGCCUUGCGGCGCCGGCACACCAGGUUCUAGUCCCGGUCGGGGCUCUGGAUUCUGUCCCAGUUGCCCCUCUUCCAGGCCAGCUCUCUGCUGUGGCCAGGGAGUGCAGUGGAGGAUAGCCCAAGUACUUGGGCCCUGCACCCCAUGGGAGACCAGGAGAAGCACCUGGCUCCUGCCUUCGGAUCAGCGUGAUGUGCUGGCCGCGGCGGCCAUUGGAGGGUGAACCAACAGCAAAAGGAAGACCUUUCUCUCUGUCUCUCUCUCUCACUAUCCACUCUGCCUGUCAAAAAAAAAAAAAAAAAAAAAAAGAACGAUACCAUUUGUUUCUUUCUGUGUUGGCGAUUUGGACCAGACUGGGCUGGAGUGGCCCAUCUUGCUUCCUUGUGGUGUUGUCUGGGCUCACUUGUGUAACCGGGCCCCAGCUGGGACAGCGGGGGUCUCUCUCUGUGGGGUGUCAUGUCCUUUAAGAAGUCGAGUCAAGCUUGCUUAGAGGGUGGCAGAAGAGAAAGCCCGCCCCACGUGCAGGCUGUUUCUGCUUAUGCCAUUGUUUGCUGAUGCGCCAAUGGUCACUCAAGUUGUGUCGCCAAGCCACAGACGUCGCUUGGGGAUCACAGGAGGGGGUGGAGAGAGGCAGGCGGGACUGUUCUGGGCCAUUCCUGCAGCAGCCUACAGCACGGAGUUUAUCUGGGGCGUCGCCAGAAACCGAGGCAGUGGGGGCACAGCGGGUUGUGUCCGCCUUUCUUCUUUGGAGCAGCAGUGAGAACAGUCAGCCAGUGGGCGGGAGGGCUGUGCCUACCGACCACGUGGGCCCCGGGGCGGGGGGCCACCAGGAGGCUUUGGCUGCAGGGGAAGGCAGGCCGUGCUGAUGUCAUGUUGCCCACGCAGGUGGUUCUGAGUAACCUCUAAGCCCCCCACCCCACCCCCACCCCCAUGGUUUUCUCAGCCUGCCCUGAGCUGAGCACCGUCUUCUGUUCCUUCUCAGAAAACCGCAGCACUUCCAGGGUCUGCUGCUCCUUGUUCCCCUACCAGUGCCAGGGACCGUGUUUUGUAGACAGCAGAGCAACAGAGGAGAGCUUGGGGAAGUGAGAGAGAGACGAGCCUGGGAGAUGGGACACCCAGAAUCUCUUUUAUUAUUUGUUUAUUUGAAAGGUGGGGGGAGAGGUGCCUUUCAUCCACUGAGAGGUGGGGGGUACCUUUCAUCUGCUGGUUCACUCCCCAGAUCACCACAACGGCUGGCCCAUGCUGAAACCAGAAGCCUGGACUCCAUCCUGGUGUCCACGUGGGUGGCAGAGGCUCCGAUACUUGGGGCAUCAUCUGCUACCUUCCUCGGCACAUUAGCAGCAAGGGGGAUUGGACGUGGAGCAGCUGGGGCUUAACUGGCACUCUCAUCUGGGAUGCUGGCGUUGCAAGUGGUGGGUUAACCUACUGCACCACAACGCUGUUCCCGAACACCCACGUUCUUCAGCUGGGUUUGCUGCCAGUGGACUCUGGUCCCUUGGGUGUGUGGAAGGGUGAGCUGAACUAGAUGGUAUGUGAUUUCACCCAGGUUGGAAUAGUCUAAUUUUAAGUGAUGCAUCCUUUCAGGAUUGUGCUCAUCUAUUUUUUUUUUUGAGUUAUCCUAUUUUUUUAAAGAUUUAUUUAUUUAUUUGAAAGGCAGAGUUACAGAAGGAGAGAAAGAGACAGAGAGAUCUUCCAUCUGCUGGUUCGCUCCCCAGAUGGCUGCAGCAGCCAGAGCUGGAUCAGGCUAAAGCCAGGAGCCAGGAGCUUCUCGGUCUCCCACGUGGGUUCAGGGGCCCAAGCACUUGGGCCAUCUUCUUCUGCUUUCCCAGAAGCAUUAGCAGGAAGCCGGAUUAUAAGUGGAGCAGUCAGGAAUUGAACCAGUGCCCAGAUGGGAUGCCAAUGCUGCAGGUUACCCACUACGCCACAGCACCAGCCCCUGUGCUGAUCUUAAAGAUUGAGUAUUUAGCAGUUAAUUUUGCUGCAUUAUCAAAAUAUUGCUUCAUAAUACACCAUAACAAUUGAGAGAAAGAUUUUGAGAUCAAGUAAGUGUUUGGUUGUGGAGUAUCGAGUGAAUCGGGGAAGGGAUAAGGAGGAUGGAUGGGUGGUCUUUUGACCCUGUUCCUUGUUUGGUUCAACCAAGUAUCAGGGAUGGGGCUGUUGGUUGUUUCCAGCAGGUGCAUUUAGGGCAACGGUAGAAAGAAAUGGUGAGGCUUUCUGAGGCGUGAUUAUUGGGGAGGUGACUUUUGUCGCAAGUGAAGAAGAACAAUUAAAUUUGAGCAAGAAUGCACUUUCCUUUCUUCUAGUCCAAGGUCAUGAGUGUGGCUCAGGCUGAGCACAUUCAACUACUGUGGCCAACAGGAGCCCCUCAUGAUGAUGGGAACCGAGGAGGUUCUAGGUCAUCUGACACACGUCUCUGUGGCUGGCUCCGGAGGUUCUAGGUCAUCUGACACACGUCUCUGUGGCUGGCUCCAGAGGUUCUAGGUCAUCUGACACACGUCUCUGUGGCUGGCUCUGGGGGUUCUAGGUCAUCUGACACACGUCUCUGUGGCUGGCUCCAGGGGUUCUAGGUCAUCUGACACACGUCUCUGUGGCUGGCUCUGUGUGCUUGCAUGUGCAUAUGUAGCCCAGUGUGGAAACAUGAGCAGGGCCCUGGACUAACCCGUACGUCUUGUAAAUAUCUCCCCAGCCUGAGGCUGAGCCUCAUCCUGGCUUCCUUAGUGUGUUUUGCUCUUAAACACUUAAGGACUGUUUAUUGAAUGAGCAAAUUAAGAGAAUCUGGAAGGGUAAGUUUUUUUGAAAACAUCUUUACUUGGUGAUUGGUAAGGCAUUAACCUAGAUAUUUUAAGUGGUCCCAGAACAAUGACUGUUGAUGUCGUUGUGGUUCUUUUGGUGGGACUGAGAUAAGAAAGGAAAGGCAGCUGACAACACGUGACCAAAGUUAAAUUCAUGCAUUAUUCAAAGCAAGCCCACACCAACUGACAAAA